AUACAGAGGGUGCGAGUGUUAAUCGGAAUUACUGGGCGUAAAGCGCGCGUAGGCGGCUACUUAAGUCAGAUGUGAAAUCCCCGGGCUCAACCUGGGAACUGCAUCUGAUACUGGGUAGCUAGAGUUUAGGAGAGGGAAGUAGAAUUUCAGGUGUAGCGGUGAAAUGCAUAGAGAUCUGAAGGAAUACCAGUGGCGAAGGCGGCUUCCUGGCCUAAAACUGACGCUGAGGUGCGAAAGCGUGGGUAGCAAACGGGAUUAGAAACCCCGGUAGUCC
rnacentral:rRNA from 1 species